GGAUUGUGGCUCAGUGGUAGUGUGCUUGCCUAGCAUGUGUGAGGCACUGGGUUCAAUUCUCAGCACCA
rnacentral:tRNA from 1 species